AGAGUUUGAUCCUGGCUCAGGAUGAACGCUAGCGGCAGGCUUAACACAUGCAAGUCGAGGGACGGUAGCAAUACUGGACCGGCAAACGGGUGCGGAACACGUACGCAACUUACCCCAAACAGGUGAAUAGCCUUCUGAAAAGGAGAUUAAUACACCGUAAAAUAAUAGGAUGGCAUCAUUUUAUUAUAAUAGCCCAGGCGGUUUGGGAUGGGCGUGCGCCUGAUUAGGUAGUUGGUGGGGUAAUGGCUCACCAAGCCAACGAUCAGUAACUGGUGUGAGAGCACGACCAGUCACACGGGCACUGAGACACGGGCCCGACUCCUACGGGAGGCAGCAGUGAGGAAUAUUGGUCAAUGGACGCAAGUCUGAACCAGCCAUGCCGCGUGAAGGAUGAAGGCGUUCUGCGUUGUAAACUUCUUUUAUCUGGGAAGAAACCUACCUUUUCUAAGGUAGCCGACGGUACCAGAGGAAUAAGCACCGGCUAACUCCGUGCCAGCAGCCGCGGUAAUUCGGAGGGUGCAAGCGUUAUCCGGAUUUACUGGGUUUAAAGGGUGUGUAGGCGGGUAUUUAAGUCAGUGGUGAAAUCUCCGAGCUCAACUCGGAAACUGCCAUUGAUACUAUUUAUCUUGAAUAUUGUUGAGGUAGGCGGAAUAUGUCAUGUAGCGGUGAAAUGCUUAGAUAUGACAUAGAACACCGAUCGCGAAGGCAGCUUGCUAAACAAUUAUUGACGCUGAGGCACGAAGGCGUGGGGAUCAAACAGGAUUAGAUACCCUGGUAGUCCACGCCCUAAACGAUGAUUACUGGACAUUUGCGAUAUACAGUGAGUGUCUGAGCGAAAGCAUUAAGUAAUCCACCUGGGAAGUACGUCCGCAAGGAUGAAACUCAAAGGAAUUGACGGGGGUCCGCACAAGCGGUGGAGUAUGUGGUUUAAUUCGACGAUACGCGAAGAACCUUACCUGGGUUUGACAUGUGGCUGGAUGCUGCGGGAACCGCGGAGGCUUUCGAGGCUGCCACACAGGUGCUGCAUGGCUGUCGUCAGCUCGUGCCGUGAGGUGUUAGGUUAAGUCCUGCAACGAGCGCAACCCCUGUGGCUAGUUGCCAUCAAGUAAUGUUGGGCACUCUAGUCAGACUGCCUGUGAUAAGCAGGAGGAAGGUGGGGAUGACGUCAAGUCAGUAUGGUCCUUAUAUCCAGGGCUGCAAACGUGCUACAAUGGAGGGUACAGAGAGAUGCAAAGCCGCGAGGUAGAGCAAAUCCAAAAAACCCUCCCCAGUUCAGAUUGGAGUCUGCAACUCGACUCCAUGAAGCCGGAAUCGCUAGUAAUGGCGCAUCAGCUACGGCGCCGUGAAUACGUUCCCGGGCCUUGUACACACCGCCCGUCACAUCAUGAAAGCCGAUUGCACCCAAAGUGGCCUUUUUGGUCCCCAGGGUGUGGUUGGUGAUU
rnacentral:rRNA from 1 species